CACAAAAUGUAUUCGAAUUGAAAGAUAAAGCUUUAGCUAAAAUAUCAAAAAUAAAAUAAUGAAUCAAGCAAUUUUGAAUAAUCAUAAAUUAAAAAUAAAUAUAUAUAUUUAAUAUAUAAAGUCUAAAUAUAUAACUCUGCAGUAAAAAUCUAAUAUCGUUAAACCAUUAGCUGGCUUAAUAAUGGAAGUAAAUGUUUGUCUGUGUGUGUAUGUAUGUGUGUGUGUGUGUGUGUGUGUGCAUAUUUUAUGUCAUUUGUACUGUUUGAUAUUAUAAUCACAUGAACACAUUAUGCUCCCUAUAACAGUUCAGUUAUUAGAGUUUGCUAAUUUAUAGUCACAUCAGUUGAUCUACAGCAUGCCAAGACGCCAUUAGCUGACUUGUUUGAGGUUGUCAGGGUCACCUUUCUCUGCUAAUAUUUUAUUUCAUUAACAAGACGAAACAUGACAGAUGAAAAGUCCCAAAUCUCAAAAACUGUAUAAUUCAAUCAUGGUUCUUUCUCUUUCAUAAAAUUGCAGCUGGUGUCCUUUUACUGGAAGGGCAGGCAAAACGCUUAAAAUAUUGUAAUUAUAACAGAACAUGUUGGUGCUGCACAGUGGAGUCAUUCAAAUGUGUUCUUGUCUGUUCCUGCAGAAUGUAUUGUGUGGGUUGAGAAUCCUCUGAAUGACACCACUGAAACAGAUGAUAGAGACAUUGCAAACACCGCUGUAACCUUUGUUUUCCUGUUCCUCAUCACCUUGUUCUACAGCAUAGGGGCUACUAUUGUUAAGGUGAAAUGAUAGAUUCCUUCAAGGACAUGCAAGAUUUCUCAGAAAAACAGCUCUAUUAUUUUUUUUUCAUUACUGUAAAUAUGUGAUUGUGAUGUUUGUUUGUUUUUAAAUUUUGCUUUAAUAAAAGAAAGAAAUCAUUUGAUUGCUCUUGUAUUUUUUUCUAGUUUACAAAGCUUUGAUUUGCACGAUCACCUCUAACGCUGCUCUGAAGAUGUUUAUGUAAACUACAUAAGGAGUAGCAUUUAUUAACACAGAGAAGUAUUUAAAAGCCCUUUUGAAAUAUAAUCUGGAUGUAAUAAUUUCUUAAAUCCAAAGGUUUUGGUUUUUUCUCUCUCUCUUUUUUAAGCUGAAGCGCAGCUCUUCUAGAUGUGGAUAUUUAUGAGUCUAAAUAUUUCAUGCUGCAAAGUAUAUUAAAACUUGAAUUGCAUAACAAGCAAGUCGUUUUAUGUAAAUGGCAAGGUGUCUUUCCUGUGCAGAUGUGCUCAGCCAUGUCUCAGAGAUGCAGAUGGUUUUCAGUUCUGCUUUUGGUGGCUAUUUCAGCUUGACUGUUACUUAACAUUUCCAUCUGCUAUUUGCUAUGUUCAUUGAAGCAUGAUUCUGAUUUCCUCUUCUGUCCAUCUUUGUUUUCAGUAUCUGCAACAUUUAAAAAUUCCCAAAAUGUAAAUAACCGCCACACUAAAACAUCAGCAGCAUUCAUUUUCAUCAAGCAUUUUCAUAUAAUGUGUACAUUUCUUUAUACCAAACUGCCUAAGUUAAUUGAUGUUGUCUAUUUUUUAAUAGCAAAACGUAUCACAAGGCCUACUAUUGCUGUGCUGAGUAGUGAGGACGCUAACGGGAUUACGUUGGAGUGCCAGUUGAAUGAUUAUUUCCCAGAAAAAAUUAGUGUACAAUGGCUUGAGGGUGAAACGUUUGCCGGGAAUCAAAUUGAUAAAAUUCUUCAGAGCACAGAAUCAAAUGAGAAAAACUACACUUACAUAAGUCAGCUAUUUAUCCCAGCUAUUUAUCCAUAUCAAAACAAAAACUAUGCUUGUAAAGCCACCCACAAUUCUGAAGUGUUCAAGAAAGAAUACAACACAUGCAAAGCACAAUCUUUCUCCAAACCUUCAGUCCGAAUAGAGAAAGUCAAUCUCAGAGACAUUACACCGGAGAAUGGGAUCACAAUUCGCUGUGAUGUUGAAGCACCAGACAACACUGAAGUGUCAUGGUUAACAGAUGGCAUAAGUAAAAGAGCCACCAAAGAUAUCAAAGACCUGCCCAAUAACAUUAACAGCUACUUGACUUUGUCCAGAAAUGAUUGGUUGAACCUUACGACUAUUGUUUGUGUCGCCAAACAUCCAUGUUUUGAAGCAAAGGAUGAAAUUCACAAAAAUAAUACAAAGACAGAUCCUGUAGUGGUGAUCAGGAGGUCUCUUGUGAAUUCAACGCAGACAGACAGUGCUGUGCUGGAGUGUGUUGUAAAUGGUCUCCCUUCUGGUGAAGUCUGCAUCAACUUCCAGGCCAAUCAUUUGGAUAUCUCAGAUUUAAUUUGUGUGGAUUGGGCCUCGUCUGAGAACAUCUGGUCCUUGACCACACAUUUUACAAUACCUAAAGAACACCAGAAAAAUGGAAAAACCUUUACCUGUACAGUUCAUUUGCUCUUCGAAUCCUGGACAUCGAAACCUACAGGAAAUAUUUUUGGCGAUCCUACCAUAGAGCUUGCUGUUGUUUCCAGUGUGGGUCAGUCUAGUCCAGACACACAGAAGCUGCUGUGUUCUGCGACAGGAUUCAACCCAAAAAUCAAGUGGUUUUCACAGUCUAGUGAGAGAUCUGCCAGCGCUUUAGAGCCCAAAAUAAUGGAUGAUGGUCUUGUGAAAGCAUACAGUGAGAUACUGCUGACACAGAAAGAGUGGAAUCGAGGGUUCACUUACACCUGUCAGACUGAUAACGGACACAGCGGGAACACUAUUGAGAAAAGUACCAGUAUCUGCACAGUAAUCGCACCAUCCAGUCAGCAGGCAAAGGUCUACCUGGUGGGUCCAUCUCUAAGUAGUGUGAGAUCUGACACCUCUGUGAAUGUGACAUGUUUGAUUGUUGGUCAGAGAGUCAAUUUAUUCUCCAUUCAAUGGAAAGUGAAUGGUAUCGUUUCCAGUCCAAAUGGCCUUGAACAAAAGCCUAGAGUUCAUGACAAUGGGACUCAAAGCAAAGGAAGUACGUUGAAGGUUUUAGUUACAGACUGGGAUUCGUACGCUCUCUUUACCUGUGAGGUUAAGCAUCUUUGCUCAAAUGAUACACAGCAGAAGAGCAUCUCAAAAACCCGAGACCCAAAACAACCCUCUGUGAAAAUCUUCAGACCCUCAGACAGUGAUCUCUCUGGGCUCCAAAAUGCCAGUCUAGUUUGUUUGAUCACUGGUUUCUUCCCAUCUGAUAUCACCGUGCAGUGGCAACUAAAUGAGACACAGCUGGAUGCAUCUCAGUUCAUUAACAGUCCUGUGGCUGCUCACACUUCAGGAGGUUUUACGAUGCAUAGUGCCCUAAUGCUGCCUGCAUCAGAGUGGAAAGAUGGCACAUUCUCAUGUGUUGUUUCUCAUGAAUCAUCCCAAUAUCCAUUCAAGGCCACUAUAGAGAACGUGUAUGCCUCGUUGACUCACUCUCCUCCGUCUGUAAAGCUGCUGCAGGGUACUAGUGUGCCUGAGCUAGUGUGCUUGGUAUUUGGUUUCAGCCCACCUGACAUCAACAUCACCUGGUGGCUAGGUGAAACUAAGAUGUCUGCCGACAGCAUCACAAACCCUGCAAAAGGCCCUAAUGGAAAAUUUAGUAUCCAAAGUCGCCUGGAUCUCCAACCUUCAGACUUGACACCUGGUGGGGUGUACACUUGCAAGGUCUCUCACGUUACUGGUAUCUUCAACGAGAACGUCUCAACGAGAACAACAUUGUUUGAAGAGGCUAUAUUUAUGAAUGAGAACAAGCCUGAAACCUUUAAACAGGAUACAGUGGAAGAGACUUGGAAUAUGGCCUGUGUUUUCCUCAUCCUCUUCCUCCUCUCUUUUUGCUAUGGGUGCACAGUGACUUUGGUUAAAAUCAAGCCUACAUGAACAAUAUUGUGUGUGUGUGUGUGUGUUAUGCCUACUAGAUUGCUAUGCUUUUUUGUUGUUAUUAUUUUGUUUAUCUUAUAUGUUGUCUUAUAACUGACUUAGCUUUGCAAAAAUUAAGUGGUAAAUUCAGCGUUUGGCCUAUGAAUAUGAAUAAAUAAGUGGUUUUAAUACACACACUUUUAAUUAUAUAUUAGCAGUACAUCACAGAUUUGUCCUUUUUUCAGAUUAUCAGUGAAUGUUAUCUCAAAUUAUGUAUUGUUUUUGAAUAAAAGAUCCAAAUCUAU